rnacentral:rRNA from 1 species
CAGUCGCCGCGGGAAUACGUAGGUGGCAAGCGUUGUCCGGAAUUAUUGGGCGUAAAGGGCUCGCAGGCGGUUUCUUAAGUCUGAUGUGAAAGCCCCCGGCUCAACCGGGGAGGGUCAUUGGAAACUGGGAAACUUGAGUGCAGAAGAGGAGAGUGGAAUUCCACGUGUAGCGGUGAAAUGCGUAGAGAUGUGGAGGAACACCAGUGGCGAAGGCGACUCUCUGGUCUGUAACUGACGCUGAGGAGCGAAAGCGUGGGGAGCGAACAGGAUUAGAUACCCAGUAGUCCCUGUCUCUUAUACC